UGUUGGCAGUGAAACAUCGAUACUUCCUCAAGACACCACAAGAUUGAUCUUAAUAUAAUCGAUUUUUAAAUGAACAACGUAUUUUUACUGAAUGUUUUGGCUCUGAUAAUACAGUUGAUAAAGUGUGACACUGAAUCACCGUGAGCUUCACGUGUGUUUGAGUUUGUGUUGUAGAAAAAACUGUGCUCUUCAUAUAAACAGAGACAUGCGGAACAUGCAGCCUUAUAAAGCAGGAUUUAUACUUUCGCCCGGCUCCACUUCGCGAGCCUCCGCUGACUGCGCACGCACCUUCCCAAACGGACGAGGCUUUUAUACUUGUUGCGUUCACCAUUGUACUACUCUUUGAAACGACAGAGGGCGACAAAGAGUAAUUGUCCUCUAAAAUCGGGAAUCACUGGUGAGAAGAAGUCAUUUGCCGGUACAAGAAUUCUCGCGUGAUGAAUGAGUUGAUGAAUUAAUAAUUUCUUUGUGAACUGAUUAAAAUAAUCUUAAGCUUGGGUUUAUGUCAUAUUUGGUGCGCACACCCAAGCGAACUUGCAGACGCGUCGAGUAUAAAGCCUGUGCUAUACUUUCCGCAUGAGCAAUCCGGACGCGGACUACUUGUAUUUAUGCUACCGGUCCGUUUCCCGGACAUGUUCCAUACAUGCGCGGUAGAUCGGCUUGAACAGUAAACAAACAUGUGAACUAACAAUUGCCCAGAGUUAUUGCACAUCUGGCUGUAUUUAUAUUGUUUUAUCGACAGAUUGUGCAGGUUCGGGUAGCAACGGGCAUCUUCACACAGCCUGCGCAUGUGCAGUUGGUGCUUUUCGUACAGGUACACGGAUGUCCAUGCAGAGCCUCCGCGCACACCCUCAGAUGUCACGCGGACCAUAACGGACUCGCGCACGUGGAAAGUAUAACACAGGCUUAAAUCAGCCUUAAGAGACAUGCAUGCUUUGCCUGGCUGUUGUCAUGUGUAUUUCUGCUGUGUAAAAGCCUUAAUAUCUUAUGCUGUGGGUGAAACUCAUGUCAUGUAAUAGUUUGUGACAUCCGUCUCUGCGUUCUUAAGUUGACAGGUAUAUAUUCAGGUAUGUAUUCCAAGUAUUAUACACAUGAGGAUCUAUCUUCACACUGUAAAACUUUACUGUAAAUUUACAGGCAUUUUCUAACAGUAUUAUACUGUAUUUUUAUAAAAUAGUAAAAUGCUGUAUAUUUUACAGAAUGUCUGUAAAUAUACAGCAGUUUUCUGUUUUCAGCCCGCUAAAUUUGUAAUGCAGUAUCAUACUGUAAAUGCAUUGCAUUGUGGGAUAGAUUUAUUUUGCGCGCUCAAUUCAAAUGUGAUGUGAUGUGAACAGUGUACUACAGGCAAACUAGGUUCGUCAGCGGGAUUUAAUUGAACAGAAUAAUUAUUCGCGUUAUUAAGAUGAGCCAGUGGUUUGUGAAUCUGCGAGUAGUUUUUAAGCUUUGUGAGCUUCGUUUCGCGUUUCAAGCGUUAGCUGCCUGUGACGCAGCAAACAAUGGAUGACGCUGCCUGAGCAGACGCCAAAAUAAUCUGUCAUCUGAAUCAUCAAACCUGUGCCUGAGACGAUGAUAAAUGGACUUUGGAGCAUAAGAAGAUGGAUUAUUGUUCGUCUGAGUAUCGAUACAGCUGAACAAUGUGAUGAAGAUCCAGUGCUAAUUAGGCCUAUUCCUGAUUGCUUCCAUGUCUUCCAUGGUCCUACAGCUGCUCCCACACUUGCAGAAAUUAGAUGGUUUUACCCUUCAAGCAGGUGUAUUCAUCACUCCAUCUGAUGUCCAGCAGUCUCUACAUUUGCCAGAGAACACAACUUAUAAUUCUUGCCUUUUAGACACUUUCUCAACAUCAACCCUGAAUGUGCAUCAAAACCAAGAAAGGAAAAGUGACUUAAAAGACUGGACAUGUGUACAAAAGAACAGUACUGUAAACCCACAGGUUUCCUCUCUUCUGAAAAACUUUUAAAAAUAUAUUUCUGAAAAACCUUUCCAUUCUUUAAAAGUAAAUAA